AGCAUCUUCCUCCUUUCCAGCAUUCUGAAUCUUUUAUUUAAUUUUUUCUGCCUUCGAAUCUUCUUCUCUCAAUUUCAUUCAAAACUCGAUUGCAGCUACCGUUUGGCUGCCAAAAUAGUAUUCGUCUCGCUCUCGAUUUUUAUGCUUACGAAACGGAUAUGAUGAGUGUUCUAUCUAUCCAUCCCCAUAAUUUGUCGUUGCAAGUUCAUCAGAAUUCUUUCAAGAGUAGAUUUGAGAAGGUUCUUCAUUUAGGAUAUUCAAGUCUAGAUUUUCCUUCUGAUAGAACAUUGUUUCUUCAUGGGGAGAGCCUUGCCAGCUUCCACGGAAGGCGUUCACGUUCUAGGCCGGUGUUAUCUGAAGCCUUAAUGAGUGAUGGCUUGGAUCCGGGUGAUGGGGAAGAUGAUGAUCAGGACGGGGAACCUCCUCAGGGUGAAACUGGAGGGGUGAGUAAUGAAUCAUUCCGCCAAGAUUUGGAAAGGAUUGUUGGAAAAGAUGAUUCGACCUUUACCGGAAUGGAUCUUGCAACCCUUAUCAGGAACAAAUAUGGGAGGUCUUAUGAUGUCCAACUUAUAAAGAAGGAGUUUAUGGGAAGAAACCUCUUGGCAAUGAAUGUAAUGUGGAAGUACAUGGAGCAGAGAUCCUUUCCGCUGACUGAAGAGGAGUAUCUACUGAGGCUUGAUGAUGUUGCAAAUACAUUGAAAUGCUGGGGAGCUGUCUCACAUAUUCGUAAUAGCCUAGCCAAAUUGAAGGAGCGGCCUCGGAUAGGAAAGGGUCAAAUUCAUUGAUACUUUGGAAGAGGAUGGCGAAUGAUGAGCCAUAUGCAUUCACGUAGCUAGUAUACAUGUGGCAUACAUGUACUGAUCCAAACUCAAAUCAUGGGCCCAACUUUAGAUGGGGCAGGGCCUCAGAUUCAGAUUGUUUGGGAAAUUGCAGUUAGUAUUUUUAUUGACAUGGAUGAGACUGGGGGCCGUGCAAAUGAGUGGAUUUACAAGUAAAUGGAACUGCUGGAUAUCAAUUUGUCUUCACCUUUUCGGAGGCACUUCCUUAUUUCAGUUUCUCAUGGAAAUCUGAAACCUCAUGGAAGAUCCAUAUUGCAAUUGAGGUCCACAGGGUGACAACUGACAAGUAAUAUGCCUCUUCUCUAGCUUGGUUGUAUGGCAGAAACAUUACUUACCCAAGGAAGUGCCAGGAGCAGUUUUAGGGGAAGGUCUCAAUGGAGAAGCUUUGUCUGCCCUGUAUUUCAUCUAUGUUCUAAGAUCUUUGAAACUCAAAACUCAGAUGUGUCUAUAUUCUUGUAAAUUUUCAUCAGAAGCUUGUUCAUGUAAAGUGGCAACUUCCCUUUAAUUCUCUUAUCCAUUGUUAUUCUUACUCA